rnacentral:lncRNA from 1 species
UAAAUACUAUUCAUACAAUUAAUAAAUCAGUUAAUAGUAAAAGACUAUAUACAUUUAACCGUAUGUCAUUAGUAUAUGAAUAACUUGGAUGUUUAGGCUUCUCCUUAUAGUUCGUGAAACAUGUAUUUUGAAUUCUCAUAGACUUAAUAAUGUGUAUUUACUAUUUCUUGAACUUUGUAUCACUUCUUUAAUACUCCCUAUGUUCCUAUUUACGUAUCCACUUUUGAAUUGACACACCUAUUAAG